GCAGGCUGCAACCCGCCUGCAUGAAGUCGGAAUCGCUAGUAAUCGCAAGUCAGCAUAUUGCGGUGAAUACGUUCCCGGGUCUUGUACACACCGCCCGUCACACCAUGGGAGUUGGCAACACCCGAAGUCGAUGAGCUAACCUUUUAGGAGGCAGUCGCCUAAGGUGGGGUUGAUAACUGGGGUGAAGUCGUAACAAGGUAAC
rnacentral:rRNA from 1 species